GCUGUAGCUCAGUGGCUGAGCACCUGCUUUGAAUGCAGAAGGAUCUGAGUUCAAUCCCCAGUGUGUCUG